GUGCUCACUUCGGCAACACAUAUACUAAAACUGGAAUGAUACAGAUAUAUCAGCAUGGCCCAUGAGCAAAGAUGACACACAAAUUCGUGAUGUGCUCCAUAUUAUA